rnacentral:rRNA from 1 species
AGGACGAACGCUGGCGGCGUGCUUAACACAUGCAAGUCGAGCGAGGCCCCUCCUUCGGGAGGGUGCCCUAGCGGCGAACGGGUGAGUAACACGUGGGCAACCUGCCCCUAGCACUGGGAUAACCCCGGGAAACCGGGGCUAAUACCGGAUACGACCUCGAGAGGCAUCUCUCGUGGUGGAAAAGGUUACUGGCUAGGGAUGGGCCCGCGGCCUAUCAGCUUGUUGGUGGGGUAACAGCCCACCAAGGCGACGACGGGUAGCCGGCCUGAGAGGGCGACCGGCCACACUGGGACUGAGACACGGCCCAGACUCCUACGGGAGGCAGCAGUGGGGAAUAUUGCACAAUGGGCGAAAGCCUGAUGCAGCGACGCCGCGUGAGGGAUGACGGCCUUCGGUUGUAACCUCUUCAGCUCCGACGAAGCGAAAGUGACGGUAGGAGCAGAAGAAGCACCGGCCAACUACGUGCCAGCAGCCGC